CGGAACACGUACGCAACCUUCCUUUAACUGGAGAAUAGCCCCUCGAAAGAGGGAUUAAUACUCCGUAACAUCACGAUAUGGCAUCAUAAUGUGAUUAUAGCUCCGGCGGUUAAAGAUGGGCGUGCGCCUGAUUAGAUAGUUGGCGGGUAACGGCCCACCAAGUCUGCGAUCAGUAACUGGUGUGAGAGCACGACCAGUCACACGGGCACUGAGACACGGGCCCG
rnacentral:rRNA from 1 species